UGGGGAAUAUUGGACAAUGGGCGAAAGCCUGAUCCAGCCAUGCCGCGUGUGUGAAGAAGGUCUUCGGAUUGUAAAGCACUUUAAGUUGGGAGGAAGGGCAGUAAAUUAAUACUUUGCUGUUUUGACGUUACCGACAGAAUAAGCACCGGCUAACUCUGUGCCAGCAGCCGCGGUAAUACAGAGGGUGCAAGCGUUAAUCGGAAUUACUGGGCGUAAAGCGCGCGUAGGUGGUUCGGUAAGUUGGAAGUGAAAUCCCCGGGCUCAACCUGGGAACUGCAUUCAAAACUGACGAGCUAGAGUAUGGUAGAGGGUGGUGGAAUUUCCUGUGUAGCGGUGAAAUGCGUAGAUAUAGGAAGGAACACCAGUGGCGAAGGCGACCACCUGGACUGAUACUGACACUGAGGUGCGAAAGCGUGGGGAGCAAACA
rnacentral:rRNA from 1 species